CAGUUUCGUACCACGUAAAUAACGUGGCACUCUUCUGAAGAGUGCCACGUUAUUUACGUGGUACGAAUCUG